rnacentral:misc_RNA from 1 species
GAAAUGCGAUAAGUAAUGUGAAUUGCAGAAUUCCGUGAAUCAUCGAAUCUUUGAACGCACAUUGCGCCCUCUGGCAUUCCUUAGGGCAUGCCUGUUCGAGCGUCAUUUAAACCUUCAAGCUCAGCUUGGUGAUGGGUGACUGUCCUCCCCUCGCGGGGGGGACUCGCCUCAAAAACAUUGGCGGCCGGUACAUUGGCUUCGAGCGCAGCAGAAACGCGGUCUCGAGUCCGGUGGAUCGGCUCCCAUAAGCCUUCUUUUUUAUUUUGACCUCGGAUCAGGUAGGGAUACCCGCUGAACUUAAGC